rnacentral:rRNA from 1 species
UACGUAGGUUGCAAGCGUUGUCCGGAUUUACUGGGCGUAAAGAGCGCGCAGGCGGUCGUACAAGUCGCGUGUGAAAGCCCCCGGCUCAACUGGGGAGGGUCACGCGAUACUGUUCGACUCGAAGGCAGGAGAGGGAAGCGGAAUUCCCGGUGUAGUGGUGAAAUGCGUAGAUAUCAGGAGGAACACCGGUGGCGAAGGCGGGUCUCUGGGCCGAUACUGACGCUGAGGAGCGAAAGCGUGGGGAGCGAACAGG